CAACUGCCUGCUCACUGCCUGCCCUCUGCUUUCCUGGAGGCUGCAGAAUGCAACCAUAUUUUGAGAAUCUCAGAGGAGAAAUGCAAAUGCUUGCCUGAAUGUACCUUCCUAUACCAGGGAUUUCUGGGUAGUUCACAUACCUUGCUCAGAAAUGAGAUAGAACUGAGAUUGUCAGCAAACUGACAUGACAUUUGUCUUCCUUGGUAUUCAAGUUUUUUUUUUUCCAGUGGAUGCUCUCAGCUCGCUGUGUGUCUUUGCCAUUAUAAUUCCUCAGAAGGAUUCAGACUACACCUGAGGCUUCAAGACAGAAAAACAAACAAACAAUAAUUCAAUUAAAAGACAGUGCUUUUACUCUCUGAAGAACAAAUGAUGUGUGGAGGCUGGAUGGGCUCCCACAGGAGGGCUGUCCUGGAGAUGAUACACGGGAGAAUUCAAUUCCAGGAUGAGUCCUGGGAUCUCAGCAGGAGGCUGACUGCACUUAACAAAUGAACUUCUUUUACUUUGCUUCCUGAUGGAUGAAGAGUUUGUGUCAGGUAAGGUGGAGCUGGGGACACAAAACACUGAUCUCUCCUCCUGCAGAGUAAUACAAAAUGCAUGAGGUUUAGACACAGGAAAGUUAAUCUGCUUACAUGUCUGAGAAUUAAUCAUGGGCUUCCUUUGCAAUAGCAUCCCCCAGGUACUCAGCAGGGUUUGUUAAAUUUUGCAAACAAAUUAGGCAGUGAUUGGCUCUUAUUUGUGCUGAACAUUUUUUCUCUAUUCUUCAAUUGAAAACUCCUCAGCUACACGGAGUCCUGUAAUUAUAUCUUUGUUUGCUUGUCCAAGGUAUAUUUUACAAUAAGAGUAUUAAAAUUUCUCCCUCAGUGGAAAAAAAUAGUGUUAUUCCUGGCUGUGAUAACCUGAGAUAUUAUUAAACUUCCCAUGUGAGACCUUAAACUACUGCCUUCCACUGCCCUUUCCAUUAGAUAUUUGCAGAGUGCUUUGCUGUGGGCAUCAGACUCGCUGGCAUAAAGGGUGGAUGUAAGUUGCAUGAAGGAUUUUGUGGGCCUUUUGCUGCUGCUCUGGUCAGCACUGAUGUGGUUGUUCUCUUGGCUGAUGUGACCAUACUAUGGAAAUGUUGGCAUUACCUGGUGUUGCUUUGGCUUAGACUGGCUAGCACAGUCCAGACAGUGCAAAGAUGCUGUUCCAGGUAUAGUUCCCCCAGGGCAGUGUAGGCAGCUCUGCGCUAUAGAAUCACAGAAUCAUUAACUUUGGAAAUGACCACUAAGAUCAUCCAGUCCAACCGCUGACCCACCACCACCAUGCCCUUUAAUUGUGUCCCUUUGACUCUUUCCAAUCCUCCAGCACUAAAAUCCCUGGAGACUUCAAAGCUAGUACAGCCCCAGUGGACAGGGUGCUCUGAAUCACUCAUGGUUUCUACAGAGCUUUCCCUACAGGGUUUCCAAUCUGAACUUCUGUAGGAAGUGAUGGCUGCCAGGAGGGAGGAAGUCUGGUGUCAUCCUUCAGAGCAAAUCCAUUCAGAGCUCACCUGAGGGACCCCUGGUUGAAUUGGUGGGUCCUGGUUUCUGGCUCCUGGUUUCUCAGCUCCUGUUGUUUGCUUGGUGAUGCCAGCUUCCAGACCUAGAGGGAGGUUGAGUCAAAAUGAGAUGGAGGAACAGAGUCUUUAACCUCCGUCUUGUUGAGUCUAGGCCCAGAGCAUUUUCCAGAGUUCAGUUCCUUGCUAAAAAGAAAUAAUAUUCUAAGCUUGGAUAUAGAAUCUGAUUCACCAGUUUAGGCUAAUCUGGCAUAUCCGAAUGGAAAUGGAGGUGUUGGUGCUCAUGCAAGCAGCUUGGAUGGUUGUUGCACGUGGGGAG
ensembl:lncRNA